AUUAAACCGCCAUUUAGUAGAGUUUCCCUUUUUGUGGAGGUACAGGUACAGCUACUGUAGAACCCCAACUCCCGAACUGGAACCAGGGAAUGCUCCAAACUCCCGAACAGUAUACACAGUAGUACUCCAAACUCCCGAACGGUAAUCUCACGAAUAGCUGCUUACAGACGAACGCACACAGCAUCCAAGCCGCCUACAUUCCCAGCAAUCAGUCUCUAACCACGUACAGUAAAUCCCCUCAAUCACGAGACCACGCUCCGUAUUGAAGGUAAAACAGGAUUCUGGUUUAUUUAGGGCUACCUGCCCGGUAUUUAUGCAGGUCUCCCACCUGGUGGACACUCCACUAGGGGACCAGAUGGAAGACUGUAACACAGACAGACAUGUAUCAUAUUCCGACACACAGAAGUAAAACAUCCCUACAAUACAUCCUAAUUUCCCUCCCUCUAUCCUGGAGAUAAUUGGGAAGUAAUCCAAUUAUCUCCCAGGACAGAGGCAAAUCGCCAUUAUACACGUGGGGACACAGAGACAGUAAAAUACAUUAAAAAAUAUAAUAUUAC